rnacentral:snRNA from 1 species
GGAUGUGAGGGCAAUCUGGCUGCGGCAUCUGUUACCCCAUUGAUCGCCAGGAUUGAUUCGGCUGAUCUGGCUGGCUAGGUGGGUGUCCCCUUCCUUCUUCAACGCUCCACAUGCGUCCCUCCCAAAGCUGCGCGCUUGGUCAAAGAGGAUGACUUCCCCCCAUAGAAGAUGACCGGUCUUCGGUGAAGGGUAUACAAGUAGCUGCAUUCCCCUGCUAGACCCUCCAAACAAGCUCUCAAAAUUUCCCAUAAAGAAAUCAACAUUUUAUCAAACAUUUAAGGAAGAAAUGCAAUCCACCUCAUGCAAAUUCCUACAGCAACAGAAGAAUACUCUUCAGCCUAUUUUAUAU